GACGAACGCUGGCGGCGUGCUUAACACAUGCAAGUCGAACGGAAAGGCCCUGCUUUUGUGGGGUGCUCGAGUGGCGAACGGGUGAGUAACACGUGAGUAACCUGCCCUUGACUUUGGGAUAACUUCAGGAAACUGGGGCUAAUACCGGAUAGGAGCUCCUGCUGCAUGGUGGGGGUUGGAAAGUUUCGGCGGUUGGGGAUGGACUCGCGGCUUAUCAGCUUGUUGGUGGGGUAGUGGCUUACCAGGCUUUGACGGGUAGCCGGCCCGAGAGGGUGACCGGCCACAUUGGGACUGAGAUACGGCCCAGACUCCUACGGGAGGCAGCAGUGGGGAAUAUUGCACAAUGGGCGGAAGCCUGAUGCAGCAACGCCGCGUGCGGGAUGACGGCCUUCGGGUUGUAAACCGCUUUCGCCUGUGACGAAGCGUGAGUGACGGUAAUGGGUAAAGAAGCACCGGCUAACUACGUG
rnacentral:rRNA from 1 species